AUUGAACGCUGGCGGCAUGCCUUACACAUGCAAGUCGAACGGCAGCGGACCUUCGGGUGCCGGCGAGUGGCGAACGGGUGAGUAAUAUAUCGGAACGUACCUUUCAGUGGGGGAUAACGUAGCGAAAGUUACGCUAAUACCGCAUAUUCUGUGAGCAGGAAAGCAGGGGAUCGCAAGACCUUGCGCUGAUUGAGCGGCCGAUAUCAGAUUAGCUAGUUGGUGAGGUAAAGGCUCACCAAGGCGACGAUCUGUAGCGGGUCUGAGAGGAUGAUCCGCCACACUGGAACUGAGACACGGUCCAGACUCCUACGGGAGGCAGCAGUGGGGAAUCUUGCGCAAUGGGCGAAAGCCUGACGCAGCGACGCCGCGUGGGUGAUGAAGGCCUUCGGUUGUAAGACCCUGUGGGAGGACGAACCGUACGGGG
rnacentral:rRNA from 1 species